AAUACCAGCUGGGCACACCUUGGACAUGCCUGAUCUCAUCUGAUGACAGAAGCUAAGCAGGGUUCGGCCUGCUUAGUACUUGGAUGGGAAAAUGCCUGGGACUACUAGAUGCUGUUGUAG